rfam:Myotis lucifugus cont2.53933, whole genome shotgun sequence.
GCAGGGCGCGGUGGUGCGCGCCUGUAGUCCCAGCUACUCGGGAGGCUGAGGCUGGAGGAUCGCUUGAGCCCACGAGUUCUGGGCUGUAGUGCGCUAUGCCGAUCGGGUGUCCGCACUAAGUUCGGCAUCAAUAUGGUGACCUCCCGGGAAGGGGGGGGGAGGGGGUGGGGGGGUGGGGGGGGGCCACCAGGUUUGCCUAAGGAGGGGUGAACUGACCCCAGGUCGGAGAUGGAGCAGGUCAAAGCUCCCGUGCUGAUCAGUAGUGGGAUCAUGCCUGUGAAUAGCCACUGCACUCCAGCCUGGGCAACAUAGUGAGACCCCGUCUCUU